rnacentral:rRNA from 1 species
GGAUGAACGCUGGCGGCGUGCUUAACACAUGCAAGUCGAACGGUGAACACGGAGCUUGCUCUGUGGGAUCAGUGGCGAACGGGUGAGUAACACGUGAGCAACCUGCCCCUGACUCUGGGAUAAGCGCUGGAAACGGCGUCUAAUACUGGAUAUGUGACGUGACCGCAUGGUCUGCGUCUGGAAAGAUUUUUCGGUUGGGGAUGGGCUCGCGGCCUAUCAGCUUGUUGGUGAGGUAAUGGCUCACCAAGGCGUCGACGGGUAGCCGGCCUGAGAGGGUGACCGGCCACACUGGGACUGAGACACGGCCCAGACUCCUACGGGAGGCAGCAGUGGGGAAUAUUGCACAAUGGGCGCAAGCCUGAUGCAGCAACGCCGCGUGAGGGAUGACGGCCUUCGGGUUGUAAACCUCUUUUAGCAGGGAAGAAGCGAAAGUGACGGUAC